rnacentral:rRNA from 1 species
UACGAAGGGUGCAAGCGUUACUCGGAAUUACUGGGCGUAAAGCGUGCGUAGGUGGUUUGUUAAGUCUGAUGUGAAAGCCCUGGGCUCAACCUGGGAAUUGCAUUGGAUACUGGCAAGCUAGAGUGCGGUAGAGGAUGGCGGAAUUCCCGGUGUAGCAGUGAAAUGCGUAGAUAUCGGAAGAACAUCAGUGGCGAAAAGCGACUUCCUGGACCAGUACCGACGUCAGGCACGAAAGCGUGGGGAGCAAACAGG